GUUCCGGUGGCCUAGUUGUUAGAACGUCCGCUUCGGAUGCGGAAGUUUGUGGGUUCAAUCCCCGGUCGAGUCA